CGGGCGCGGGCUCAAACAGCCCGAAGCGGGAGGGGAGGAGGCUUACCGGGCUAACUCGCCUCGGCUUGGGGCUGUGUAGGGGCAGCAGGUCAUUUGGCAGUGGUGGGGCAUGCGGCCCCCCAUCUUCCAGGAUGUAGAGUAUAGCGCCACCAGCCUAGAGGUAGGACUUUGCAGGUGUUGCGCCCCUCUAGGCUCAGCAGGGUACCAGAAGGGGAAACCACCAGGUGUCUGGGGUAGGCCGGUUUUCCCAAAGGGGCCCCUAAUAGGGAGAGGAGUGGCUGGUUGUCAGCUAGAUUCAGUGGACUUAUUGCCCCUAGAUUCUAAGGCUUGGAGACUAAGGAAGACCCUAGCCAGUACAGUACACCUGCUGACAGAGAGUUCACUCUUUCGUUUCCAAGAUGCCACGUUGUGAGUUGCUGAUGAACAACUGGGGCAUCUGGAAGUCUGUUGGUAGUCUGUGACCUCUGACAGCUGCAGCCUUUUAAGAAGAGGCUCUCCCCCUAGACACAGAGGAACCUCACAUUCAAAAGGAACCUUGGACAUCACAGGCUUGUGCUGUUCAUUCCGAGAGCUACAACAAAAACAGAAACCAGAGGCAAGAGAGAGAACUUGGUGAGAAAAAUGCUUGAGUUCAGAUCUCUAGCACCCACAUAAAAUCAAGGCAUAGUGAUAUGCUCUGAUGCUG
rnacentral:lncRNA from 1 species